CUCUCCCCCCCGCCGUGUUUCUGUUGUCUGGUUCCGUAAUGACCUCCGUGUUCAUGACAAUUCUACACGUUCUUCUUCUCUUUAUCCCCCAAAAAACCUGCCGUUUCUUAUAUCCCAACCCUCUGCACUCGAUCUAUAUCUGUUUCUAUUGUCAUAAAAGAGUAUGACAAUGAUAAUUGGCUAUGGAACCCUAGAUCUAUGGUGGUUCUUCUCCUUAUCCGAUCUCUGUUUUUAUUGCCAUAAAACAGUAUGACAAUGAUAAUUACUGGAUCGCUGGGAGAAGUUUGGUUUUUGGUGCUGCUGCUGCUAUGGAGUGUUUUUGUUUUCUGCGUAUCUGAUAACAAUUAGAUAUGAAGCUCUUCAGAGUGAAGCUGGUAAGAUGUUACUUAGGAGAUCAGGAAGAGCUCCUGAUGAUAUCUCAAGUGUUGUACUUGUUGAAAAUAAUAGAUCAUACAUAAAGUCAGAAGCUGUGUUGAAGAUA